UCGAUUCAAUCAAAAAAUUCGUGAACCAGCAUCAAAUUCGGUCUGGUCAUCAUACAUUAAAUGAAAAUAAAAAAUCAGUGAAUUAAUCAUUAACCCGAUCGAUUUAACCAUGAAUUAAUAAAUCAGAUACGAUCUUUUUGAUUAACAUGAUUUUUUUCCAUAACUUUUUUUAACUGUUUUAUUGGCUUACCUAUUAACAUAGUAGGCCCAUUUCACAUUUCUAUCCAAGUGAUGCUCCUUCUUAAAUGAGACUCUUCUACCAAUGUAUGAGAGAUCGUCUGAUGUGGGAUACUGUAGCAGGUAGAGUGUUGUAGAAUAAAUAUAAAUAAUAUUUACAAGUUGUUGCAUCCUAUCAUUAGAUAAAAGUAAAGUAAAAGAAAUUAUAAUUAAUUUGUGUUACUAAUUAAUUAUAUUAUUAAUAUAAUUUGACAUCCGGUGCAAUCCCAAUCCAACCCUUUGACCUUUCAUCCUCUUCCUUUGCUGAGUUGAUGUUCGAGCUGAUUUUUAAAACAUUGAUAUUAAGUAUCAAUAUUCAAUACUUUCACUGCUAAUCUUUAAAACACAAGAAUGAUGGCAGCAAGCUAUUAGCAAUAGCAACAAUCAACUUCAAUACUAUAAGCAACAACAAGAAGUUUAAUCUAGUUAGCAACAAUGACAGUUCAAUUUUAGUUGUUUCAUCUUAUAGACAUUUAAAGUAGACAUUAUUCUAAAAUAUUAAGUCC
rnacentral:lncRNA from 1 species